rnacentral:rRNA from 1 species
UACGUAGGUGGCAAGCGUUGUCCGGAUUUACUGGGCGUAAAGGGCGUGCAGGCGGUCUGUUAAGUGCAGGGUGAAAGCUCCCGGCUCAACUGGGAGAGGUCCUUGCAUACUGGCGGACUUGAGGGGGGUAGAGGAAAGUGGAAUUCCCGGUGUAGUGGUGAUAUGCGUAGAUAUCGGGAGGAACACCUGUGGCGAAGGCGGCUUUCUGGGCCCUACCUGACGCUGAGACGCGAAAGCGUGGGGAGCGAACGGG